AAGCAGGAUUUAACUACAAUAUGGCUGUUAAAGUGCUAUGUUGUCGUUCCCCCUGCUCAAAACAAUAUUGUUUCUUAACUAUACCUGUCUGCUAUACACUCAGUAGCAGCCAGGGACGCUUGGUCUCAUACAU